AAGUUCUGCACUUUAGCUUCUGUGAUUUUUGCCAAAGGUUCGGCUUCGACCCACUUGGUGAAGUAGUCAAUUGCCACCAGGAGGAACUUUCGCUGCCCGGACGUCAUGGAAAAAGGUCCAAGGAUAUCCAUCCCCCAUUGUGCAAACGGCUAUGGGGCACUCAAAGGUGUAAGUUCGGAGGUGGGCUGUCUUUGGAUAUUCGCAU
rnacentral:lncRNA from 1 species